GUAACGCGUGAGUAACCUGCCUUCAAGAGGGGAUAACAUUCUGAAAAGAAUGCUAAUACCGCAUGACAUAUCGGAACCACAUGGUUUUGAUAUCAAAGAUUUUAUCGCUUGAAGAUGGACUCGCGUCCGAUUAGUUAGUUGGUGAGGUAACGGCUCACCAAGACCGCGAUCGGUAGCCGGACUGAGAGGUUGAACGGCCACAUUGGGACUGAGACACGGCCCAGACUCCUACGGGAGGCAGCAUG
rnacentral:rRNA from 1 species